AAACCCCAAGCUGCUGAAGUGGAGCAAGUGAACUCAACUGCUGUGCCACUGGGCUGGCCCCAACAGAGAAAAGAAAGAACAUAGACAUGAAAGGGCGAAAGAUUGCCACAGUUUCACUGUGGAUUAUAGCUGUUGGGGCAAAAGCUAUGCAAAGAAGGCAAGAAAGCCUCCACAAGUUCAAGGUCACCAGCCAGUAAUCUAACUGUCUAAUGGAAAGAAGUAAGAAAUCACUAUAAGAAGAUAACAGAAGCUAGAAUCUCUACAGCAUAUGAUCUACAAUGCCCUGUGUAAAUAAAAACUAAUAGGAUUUUCUCACUCAAUUUUCCAUCUCCGGGACUCUUCUCUGACCCUUCAAGUCUAUAGACAGCAGCUUUCUGCUCGGGUCCUAACCGUCCUGAUGCCAUGUGGACUAGGGAGUGCCUUCAAGAGAAAAGUUAUGGAAAAGUGGACCUCACCCAACGAAUAUGGUUCCUUUCUUUAAAUGCUCAAAUUCCUUUUAAUAGCUGCCUACUUUUGGUUGUUCUCCAGUGACUUCAAGAGGUUUUUUGUUUUGUUUUUUUUCUCAGAGUUUAAUUGUUGUCUGUGGGAGGGUUCGUCCAUGACAAGCAGGUCUACCACUACCAGAACCAUAACUCCCAAUGUGUUGGUUUUAAAGAGGCCAAAUUUAUACACCCC
rnacentral:lncRNA from 1 species